rnacentral:rRNA from 1 species
AGUGAACGCUGGCGGUAGGCCUAACACAUGCAAGUCGAACGGCAGCACAGUAAGAGCUUGCUCUUACGGGUGGCGAGUGGCGGACGGGUGAGGAAUACAUCGGCAUCUACUUUUUCGUGGGGGAUAACGUAGGGAAACUUACGCUACUACCGCAUACGACCUACGGGUGAAAGCAGGGGAUCUUCGGACCUUUCGCGAUUGAAUGAGCCGAUGUCGGAUUAGCUAGUUGGCGGGGUAAAGGCCCACCAAGGCGACGAUCCGUAGCUGGUCUGAGAGGAUGAUCAGCCACACUGGAACUGAGACACGGUCCAGACUCCUACGGGAGGCAGCAGUGGGGAAUAUUGGACAAUGGGCGCAAGCCUGAUCCAGCCAUACCGCGUGGGUGAAGAAGGCCUUCGGGUUGUAAAGCCCUUUUGUUGGGAAAGAAAAGCAGCAGGUUAAUACCCCGCUGUUCUGACGGUACCCAAAGAAUAAGCACCGGCUAACUUCGUG